rnacentral:rRNA from 1 species
GUAACACGUGGGCAAUCUGCCCUUCACUCUGGGACAAGCCCUGGAAACGGGGUCUAAUACCGGAUAACACCGGCUUCCGCAUGGGGGCUGGUUGAAAGCUCCGGCGGUGAAGGAUGAGCCCGCGGCCUAUCAGCUUGUUGGUGGGGUAAUGGCCUACCAAGGCGACAACGGGUAGCCGGCCUGAGAGGGCGACCGGCCACACUG